AAAGCAACGCAACUCGGCCCAUAGUUUUAAUAUGGGCCUACCUAACGCCUGUUACUUGAAGCCGUAUUUUCGUCCGAAAUCGACCCGUUGUUUAAUAAAACUGUUGGGAGUUUUUUGAGUCUUGUCGGAGAUGAAGAUAGGGGCGGUUCGGGAGUGUUGGGUUGUGCGAACUCCGGUAACUCCUCCGGCGGUUCGCGGCUUAAUUCGCCGGAAUGAAAAGCCGCAGCAGCUCGGGUUUCCUCUCUCGAAGAGGAUGUCUCGUAGUGUGGUAAUGGAGGUUCAAGGAGGGAGAGGAUAUGAGUCUCCAUGGGAUGAAAAACCUUAUGAAACUCUUCCCACUGGGAAAAAGGUUUACGUUGACGAAUCUGAUGUUGUAACGUUUCUUGAUCCUCCCAAGGAGUUGAUUCCAUUGGACCCUACUUCAUAUAACUCAGCUGCUUAUCUCUGGAAAAAGAUUGAAGACAUCCCUGAAGAGAGGCGCCCCCGCUUGCUGCAAUUUAUAGAGCCAAGGCUUAUAUCAAGAGCGUGGGAAAUAGCAGGCGCUCGUUAUGAAAAUCCAAAGCUAGCUAAAAUGACUGCAUCAAAGUUGUUCUCUACUGGAGGAGAUACGGAAAUUUCACUUGAAUACUUUAACUGCCGAACAAGUAAUGGUCCACUAAUCAUAUCUUGGAUAAGAUCUUUCAAGAUGGCUGUGUUUUCCUCCAACAAUGGACAAAUCUAUGGGCGUGUUUGUGGUGGACCGAUAGUCUCAACCCUUGCGAAUGCUUUCAGCCCGCUUUACUUUGAGGUCACAGAAGCUAUGGAAGUUAUGGCCACAGAAGAACCCUGCGACAUAGCCUGCAGAUUUGGUGAUGGGCUUCUUGCCAUUGAAGAUUACCCACAAGGGUUCCCUCGACCAGCCAAGCAUCCGUAUCCGUUCAACGACAGUGUUGUUAUAUACAUACGGCAUAUAGGUCCAGGUGUAUGCGUAGGGCAGGCAUGGCAAGAAGGUAAAGAAGUGCAGCAAGUUCCUCAAAGAUUAUGCUCAGACAUUCUUAUGGUCAAACAGUAAAAUUGAAUUUUACGGAGGCUUUUUUUUUUGAAUUUUAGAUGGCAAAACUGUUUCGUGUUAACUUGUAUAAGAAGCUUUAUCUUUGCGGUAUAAAAGCAGAGGAGUUGCAACAUAGCUUAUAGGACUUGAUCAUUGACCAUGAGAAAUUUAGAACACUCGUCUUUCCUUGCAUUGCAAGUCAUCAUAUAAGUUCAUGCAAUCUAGUCUGGGAACGUUAAGAACACCUUUUAACUUGAUUUUUUUUAGCAGAAAAAAUAAAAAAAAAAACUUUUUAACUUGAUUCAGAAUAACCUGUUAUAUGGUUCUAUUAAGUUGUAAAUCAUAGAAGCAUAUUAUAAUAUUGAACGAGACAUUACAAAAAUAAUAGCAUAUUAUACUAUUGAACGAGACAUUACAAAAACACAUACGAAAUCAUAGUUAUAGGCGAUCGAAAUACAGAUACGUAAACACCUGCAAAGACCUCUCAGAUCUGAACCGCCAGCUGGAAGCAAGCGGCUGCCUCCACGGAAGCUUGACGGACUUGAUUGCGGCUGAGGUUCCUGCACCUCCAGUCCGACUUCGUGAUAGAGGCAUCUGGCAGGAAGUUGAACCCCGGCCCAAACAGCUGGAGAAGAUUGAUGGGUUGGUAAUAAUGGUUUCAAAUGUUUUAUCUUUAUUUAACCUUUUGUUUAGUGGAAGGGUGUAGUGGAUGUAUUAGUUGCCAUAGUAGUUACUUUGUUUAUUUAGUUUUGUAUUUAAGCAUGAGUUGUGAAGAGAAUGAAGAAGAAGAGAAAAUUGUAGUAACUUGUGUUUUGUUUUAUUAGUUUGUUUUCACAAACUCUCUUAGCUUUCAAAGCAACUUGUGUUCUAAGGUAUCAGAGGGGUGAUUAGGUUCACUCCUAACAAUGAUCUCGGUGCUAGAGAGAUUGCGGAGAGCAACACCGUCAUCUUCUUCUCCCGCACCGUUGCGGAGGUCUAUCAGUGAACGCACCUGGAGAUCGGAGUUCUGCUGCAGAAGCUUAGCUCCAUCGUGUCCGUUCCAGAUCCCGGCGAGUGUGACGGAUGGAGAGCGAAGGAGACGGAGGAGACGCUUGGGGAGUCGAGAAAGGUAACAAAGCUGGAUUAGGAUGCAUCUCCGGUCGUAGCAUAGAGCGAGAACAGCGGCGGGACUGUUCCUCGGCUGUGGCCACUGUACGGUGGCUCCAAGUGAACAGUUAUCACCGGCGGGGACAUUCCGGUCAAUCCAACGUCCGAUCCGUCUAUCACUCCUCGCAAUGGUGACGUUGAGCCUUCCUGCAUAAAAAUCUACUUGCAUCUUCAUUCUUAAAUAGCUAGUGGAACCCAAACAUUUUCUAUUUGUAAAUUAUAUUGGUGUUUUGGCGUCCGUGCAAUUCUGUUACGAAAUUGAUUUUGAUUCUCACUCUCUCCCUCUCACAGAGUCACACGUGUCACUCUAUACUACUAGUACUAGCUACUGCUAUAUUUGCAGGAAGCGGUUGUUUGUCCCUCUGCAACCUGAUGGAUGAUGCUUUAUUUUAAUUUUAAUUUUUGAAUUUUGGUAUUUCCGAUUUUAAUCCUGUAUUAGUGAGUUUUUGCGUUGAUUUGCCAGUUGACGAGCAUCCGUCAACUUCUUCUUUUUUAAAUGCGAAUUGGAAUUUUUUAAAUUUCAUAGAGAUUUGGAUUUUGGACGUUUUUGUCCUUGGAGUUUGGUAACUUUGGAAAACGCGCGAAAGAGGAGACAAUUAGGAUGGCGGGGCAAGAAAUAAUCGACAAAUAACAGAUCGUUAAUGAUUUAACCUAACGAAUACUUCAUUUAAUCAUUUUUGUUUUAUUAUGCUCGUCUCAGGUGAAUAUGUCGAACUUGAUGAAUUCAUUCAAAAUGCUCUCUACCUUCCCUUUAUAUUUUUAUAUAUCAACAUAAAAGUUUAAAUAUGUUUGUUUCUAAAUUAAAUAAAACACUAAUAUAAAUUUAUAUAUUUUCUGAGAAAUUUCCUACACACAAUAUAUUUUACUUUUUUACAGUUGUAUAUAUAUAUAUUUAUUUAAGUUACAAAAAAAGUUUGCUAUCAAGUAAAAUGUGCCAAUAAACUAAAACCUAGGUUAUCCUGAUCUCUUCUGCUAUGACUUAUUAGUAAAUGGUUUUCAUGACUACCUUUUCUUUUUACACUACAGUCCACGAUUUACGGGAGAAAAAAAGAUGUUACUGAUGGGAAGGGUUUAACAAAUAAUCAAAUUUGCAAAGAUAAAUAAAUCCAAACCCUUAAAAAUAAAGCCACCGAGCCACUAAUCUCCUUAUUCACUCUAUAAUCAUCUUUCGGUCUUUUUGUUAAUCCCAAUAAAAUGAACCAAAAACAUACAGUAUUAAUUAACGGCUUUCGUUUUGUUUAUUCUUUUUUUGAUUUCUUAUUUCCUUGUCUGAAUACGGAAGUUUUCGUGUGUGCUUUGUUUUUUUUUUCCUUUCUAAUGUAUCUUUUAUUUUAAUCAAGUUCCCCUAAUUAUGUUUUUGUUUUGCUUAAAUUCCCCUAACUAUGUUUUUGUUUGUUUUUAAAAAAUCUCAUAUUAUCGUCUGAUUGUUUUUUUUUUUUUUGUCAUUAGAAAUAAUGAAAAUGUAUCCUUGUCAAAAGACAAAGGGGAUGAAACAACCAAAGUACUGAAAACAAAACCAUAACAAGCUCCAAUAGGAGAUUCAAAGAAAAAUAAGAAAUGAUAAUAGGGCCGGGAGCAAACCGGUGUCCACUGUAGAGUGAAUAAUUCAUGUUGAUGCUUCCUGACAAAUCUGAGAUGAGAGCCAAGCAGGACCAUUCCUAGCGACAUACGACUGCAACCUUUGAUCUCUUGUAACGCUAACUGCAAUUAGAUUAGCUAUCAGAUUGCAAGAGCUGGAGACAAAAUUUAUCUUCGCUUCCCUGAUUGUUAAACAUAUGAUCGAUCUUAUUGUAUAUUUUCAUCAGUUUGAGUAUUGGCAUGGGGUUAAUGGAACUUCAAAGCCAUUUGCUUUAAUCAUGUUGAUGCUUAAAUUAGUAUAAUGAAUAGUUAUUCUGAGUUCGGCAUGUGUGUAAAUUAAUUCUGGUUAAAGUAAAAAAAAAUUUAAAAGUAUUUAAGAUUUGCUAUUUGUAAACAGUAUGUCAUUAAAAAAAAAUUAUAUCUAUAUAUAUAUAUAUAUAUAUCAUGUCAAUGAGAGUAUCCUUUAGGUUGGUAACUAUUGUAAAAUUAUAUGAAAUCCAUGUCCCUAUAAGGAUAACUUGCAUUCUUUACAAGUAAUAUUUCCCAAAAAACUUGAUUUUCUCAACCGGUUAAGAAAAAUGAUUGCUUUCCUUCAACGCUUAUCACAUCCACAACCAUCUAUCAAUCUACACCUUACCACAUCUUUUCAUCUUCCGGCUAUUCAGCACCAAACACUUAAAAAUGUCGAAUUCUCGAUCCAACACCAGAAUCACAGUGGAGAAUCACUUUAUAAUCUGAGUUCCUCGAGUCAUACCAAGUUCACUUUUUCACCAUCUUCUUGCUCUCUCUCUCUCUCGAUCGACAUUUUGGGCUAUAAGUUCACCUUUUCUAUUUAUCAUAUAAUUUAUAUAAUAUUAAUAAUUAGUUCACAUUUUCUAAGAGAUUAUAUAUAAUUAAGUAUUCCCAUAUAUAUAUAUAUAUAUAUAUAUAUAUUUUGCAGAAUCUCAUAUUAUGCCAUAUUUUUCUUGUAUAAUUGUAGUGCUUAUCAUCCUAUGAUAUCUUUUUUUUGUAACUCAAAUCAUCCUAUGAUAUCGAUGAUCAAUUAUAUAUAGGAUCGAAUUUAGUUAGCGCCGUGUGAACCCUUUUGGUGGCCUGAGGCUAAAAUUUUAUUUAAAACAUGAUUCUUCUUUUUUUUGUAAACACUUGAAAUUGUAGAUACACUAAAUAUCUCUAAGACAAAAAACUAUCAAAAAGAGACCAAAUGAAAAUGUAGAGAACAAACUAUAUGGACAAUCAAGCUCCUUAUAUAAACAUAUGUAUGCACUCCGUAUACACCACGAACUACUACUUUGUUUUGUAUACAUGGGGCCCAGUAUUGAUAAAAAAAGGUAAGAGCAUGUUUAUAGGGAGCUCUUAAUCAUCUCCAAUGUAUUUCUUUAUUUUUACCUCUAAAAUAGAUGAACUCUAUAAUAGAGAUAUGUUUUGCUCCAAUGUAUUUCUCUAAAAUAGAGAUUUCAAAAUACAGAGCAAAAUAUAGAGGAAUGCUAUUUCUUCCUCUAUAAAUAGAGGAGAAAAUAACAAUCUCUAUUUUAGAGGUAAAAAUAGAAGUGGAUUAGAGUGAUUUUGUCUUUAAAUGCUAUUAUAGAGGUAAAAAUAUGGGAAGGUUGAAGAUGCUCUUAGUAAAAUUAGGAUUUAGAAAAAAAAGAAAAAUAGUAAUUAAGAGAAGGGACGUUGCUUAAAUAAGGGCUAGAACAACCGUGUCUUAGAAACACCUGUUCUAAUUGUAUUGGCCAGAGAUUUUGAGAAGGAAACGAAAAAACGUUCCCUACGAAGAAAGAAAAGUCGAGACCCUUUGGUUUCUCUAUCUCCCUCUCUCGGGUGCUCCCGGACGAAGAAAAUCGCAUGCUGAAUCGAAAGGUGAGAAGAGAAGGAGAAUCAGGGAGUUGACAUCUCUUGUGGAGAAGAGAUUCAGGUUUCCUCAAGACAGUGUUGAGCUUUACGUUGAGAAGGUUGCCAACAGAGGUCUCUGUGCCAUUGCUCAGGCUGAGUCUCUCCGUUACAAGCUCCUCGGUGGACUUGCUGUUUGCAGAUCUCUGUUGGGAUUUGAGCUGUGAGUGUCUUUUGAUCUCUGUUGUUGCUGGUGAGGUUGCAAUCUAUAACUUGUAAUAAUUUUUUUUUUAAUUAAGAACCUACCAAUAAAGCACUAAAAUUAAAGGUCUCUUAACCAAAAAUUUUAACUUCACUUUAAUACUUUAAAAAUUACUAAGAACCCCUAAAUGGGGUUCUCCCAAUAAACAUGCUGGGGCCUGACUGAGGCUCUUGCCUUGUUUUGUAAAAUGGUAAGCACGGCAUUUUUAGUGUAUGUUUUCAUGAAUUUUAGUAUUGGGCUGACAUGGAUUAAAGUUCGCAUUGUUGAAUUAAUGGCUUGUAGGUUUAUCUUAAUUUGAAAAUUCCAACACAUAAAUUAUAUAAAAGAAAAAAAAGCUAUAUAAAAAAAAUGAAGGCUUCGUUUUUUUGGGGCAAAAUGUCAAAAUGAGAUCAAAAAGGGAAACAAGAUCAAGCAAGGUUGACGUAAUUAAUAUAUAUUCUUCCAAUCUUUGGGCAAAGCUCACUCAUCUUCCGAUGGUGUCGGGGAUCAAGGAUGGAUCUAAGUGAAGUGUGAGUGGUAUUACCUUGUCAUAUCGGGUCCAGUAAAAGUGGUAGCCCAUCCGUCUAGUUCUGGUGGCGACUUUAGUUAUUAACCUCAGCUUUUUUGUUGUGAUAUCAAGUAAGACGAUGCUUUCUGGUAAGUACAAGUAAACGAGAAGAGGGUUGUCUGGAUGGCAAUGCAAAGGCUGUGGCCAAAUGAUCUGCUGUCUUCUGGUUUCUCGAGGAAGCAAAAAAACUUCCUUAAUAAGGGCCAUGCAGUUUUCUUUACUUGUCGUCAGAUUAUAACGCUGCAUGUAGUCUUGUAUCCAUGAAAGAUCAGAAACCAUGUCACUGAAGGAUAGCAAACGAGCUGAAUGACGCGUAGAUAGCCCAUUGAGAUUGUUAAGGUCUCCGUGACCACCGCUUUCUCACCAUAUGAUUCAUGACGCAUCUCUGGGAAACGAUGGAUGACUAUGCAUGCAUGCCUAUACUUUGGAUUAUAAGCUACAAUAGGUCCGUUUUGGCCUAGCCAAUGUAGAGCUCCCUCAAAGUUCACGGCAUGGCACUGCGUUGGGCACCAUCCAAAUUCUGACCAACGCGGAUGCUCUAUAAGACGUAUUCUCCAUUUACCGCGCUUAGUGUCCAAAACACUGAGGCAAAGCAGACAAGGUUCAGACCUCACCAGGUUAACAACAUAGUACCUGCCCUUUGACCCAUUCCCUGUUAACCCAAUAGGAGAUAAUCUGCCGCACGUUUCAGGAAGUCGGGUCCAUUGCAUUGUCACGGGAUUCACAAUGUAGAAUCGUGAUUCCUUAAAUUUCUUGCAUAGCAAGACAUCUCUGUACGAGGCUAGUACACAAACCGGAGACUUAAUCUCGGGAUCCAUAUAGUUGCUUAACUGGAAACCUUUCCAUCCCUCUAAAGAUAACUCGUUCGUAGUACACAGAGGAUCUGUGUUGACGAUCAAAGCCAAGCUGCUCCAUCUGUGAUCAUCGAAGAAAGAAGAGAUCAAAGAGUUCCAUCUCUUGCUUACGCUUUUGCAGGCCAUGAUAUAUCUGGGAUUACGUAGCCUCAUGAAGAUCUCGACCAACAAUAAGCUCUCAGGUAACUCAUCAAUCAUGUUUCUUUUUCUUCUUCUUACAUCAUCAUCAUUGAUUUUGCCCUUGAUGACUUUUCUUGCUCUCUUUCUUUUCCUAAGCGAUACCAUCGAUGAUCGAUCUCUACUUAGUUUUUGACUCUAUCUAGGGUAAUAUUUAACUGCAUCUAUGAUCUAUCUAUAUAUAUAGCACAAUUCCUAAACCCUAAUCCUUGUUGGGCUUUAAAUUUUUGUAAUCUUUUACCUGCUUGAUUAGGAGACAAGUUUCUAUUAUAUUUAGACUUUUACAUC